UACAGAGGUCUCAAGCGUUGUUCGGAUUCAUUGGGCGUAAAGGGUGUGUAGGUGCGGCGCGUAAGUCGGGUGUGAAAUUUCGAGCUUAACUCGAAACUGCAUUCGAUACUGCGUGCUUGAGGACUGGAGAGGAGACUGGAAUUUACGGUGUAGCGGUGAAAUGCGUAGAUAUCGUAAGGAAGACCAGUGGCGAAGGCGGGUCUCUGGACAGUUCCUGACGCUGAGGCACGAAGGCCAGGGGAGCAAACGGG
rnacentral:rRNA from 1 species